CGGAGGACAUUACGAGUUUACACUCUAACCCUGUGAACAUACUAUAGUGGUGGUGCGGCGGGUAGGUCUCCGCGACCCUCCCGGCCUCGACCUCGGGCGGGCGGCGACCUGCAGAUAUCCAUACUCUUGAUUACGAGUUUUUAKAGUYGGACAAGCWAAUAAUCAAACUUUUACGACGAUCUUGUUCUGGCAUCGAUGAAGAAAGCACAAAUGCGAUAAUAAUGUGAAUUCAAAUUCAGUGAAUCAUCAAUCUUUGACCGACAUUGCGCCCGCCAGCAUUCUGCGUGCACUCGUGUUCGAGGUCUUUGACUCAAGCUCUGCUUUUGUGGGGCCCUAGCAGCGAUGUAGGACCUCAAAGGCAGUGGGGACCUCCCGGAGCCUCCUUGGUAGUAACUUUACGUCUCGCACUGGGAUCCCGAGGGUCUCCUGCCUAAAAACACCCAUCUCCAAAGGUUGACCUCGGAUCAGGAGAAC
rnacentral:rRNA from 1 species